rnacentral:rRNA from 1 species
GACUCUGGAGGUGCGAAAAGCGUGGGUAGCAAAACAGGAUUAGGAUACCCUUGUAGUUCACGCCGUAAACGAUGUCGACCAGCCGUUGGGUGCCUAGCGCACUUUGUGGCGAAGUUAACGCGAUAAGUCGACCGCCUGGGGAGUACGGCCGCAAGGUUAAAACUCAAAUGAAUUGACGGGGGCCCGCACAAGCGGUGGAGCAUGUGGUUUAAUUCGAUGCAACGCGAAGAACCUUACCUACUCUUGACAUCCUGCGAAUUCGGUAGAGAUACCUUAGUGCCUUCGGGAACGCAGAGACAGGUGCUGCAUGGCUGUCGUCAGCUCGUGUUGUGAAAUGUUGGGUUAAGUCCCGUAACGAGCGCAACCCUUGUCCUUAUUUGCCAGCGCGUAAUGGCGGGAACUCUAAGGAGACUGCCGGUGACAAACCGGAGGAAGGUGGGGACGACGUCAAGUCAUCAUGGCCCUUACGAGUAGGGCUACACACGUGCUACAAUGGUCGGUACAAAGGGUUGCGAGCUCGCGAGAGUCAGCCAAUCCCGAAAAGCCGAUCUCAGUCCGGAUCGGAGUCUGCAACUCGACUCCGUGAAGUCGGAAUCGCUAGUAAUCGUAGAUCAGAAUGCUACGGUGAAUACGUUCCCGGGCCUUGUACACACCGCCCGUCACACCAUGGGAGUGGACUGCACCAGAAGUGGUUAGCC